GUCAACCACCCCACGGCUAAAGCCGGGGGCUUGCGAUGAGCAGGCCCGAGGUUGACCAGCCUCAGCCAGGGCCGUAGGGCCAUCGGGCUACGUUAUCCCGGUCAUGACACCCUGGAGUGCGCGAGCCAGCUCCAGGCCCUGUC
rnacentral:sRNA from 20 species